rnacentral:lncRNA from 1 species
UCAUGAAAGUUAUUGAAACUGGACUGACGUAGCAAAACAAAGGGAUCCUGAUAGUUGUAAAUGACGGUGAACAGCAUCCAUUGAAAGCCUUACCAGUUCAUGCCACCUACAGCUUGUGUACUAGUGCUACGAUAUAACUUUAUGCUCAAAUCUCUCGCGAGCUAAUCAGCUAAUGGUUUUGUUAGGGUUAGGAUGCAUCGGGAGCUAAGUCGCUGUUGUCAUUUGCCCAGAAUUCAUGCUAGUCCUUAUUAGGGCUCUAUCUCUCCUUCUACACAAAACUGAUCAAUCUCCAGACGGUAUGAUACUUUGUCUCGAGUCGAAACAGUUUGGACAAAAUUCAAUCAGAUUUGAAGAGACGUGGUUGAAUUGGAAAUCUUCGAGUAUGGUAAAAAUUUCUGAGAAAGGUCUGAUAUUAUGAUCGGUUGCUAGCUUAGCAAUCAUCUAUAGCCAACUGAAGAGGUUACUGAAGAUGCUACUGACUUCACGAUGGUGGAAGGUGCAUGCUGGGUAUUCAGAGGAUGCAAGCAGUGGUGUAGUACAAAGCAGUGGUUAUUCAAAGGUUGAUGGAAAUAGGAAAAACUCUCUUCUUGCUACCAAGCAGAUGAAUUCAAGCUAGUGUGGUUUUUUUACUAGCAU